rnacentral:rRNA from 1 species
CACGUAGGGGGCAAGCGUUGUCCGGAUUUAUUGGGCGUAAAGAGCUCGUAGGCGGUUCGAUAAGUCGGGUGUGAAACCUCCAGGCUCAACCUGGAGACGCCACCCGAUACUGUCGUGACUGGAGUCCGGUAGGGGAGCGUGGAAUUCCUGGUGUAGCGGUGAAAUGCGCAGAUAUCAGGAGGAACACCAGCGGCGAAGGCGGCGCUCUGGGCCGGUACUGACGCUGAGGAGCGAAAGCGUGGGUAGCAAACAGG